rnacentral:rRNA from 1 species
AGAGUUUGAUCCUGGCUCAGGACGAACGCGGCGGCGUGCCUAACACAUGCAAGUCGAACGGAGAUAUACGCUGAUUUGAUGAAAGCUUGCUUUUGGAUUUUCUUGUGUAUCUUAGUGGCGGACGGGCGAGUAACGCGUGAGCAACCUGCCCUUCAGUGGGGGACAACAGUUGGAAACGACUGCUAAUACCGCAUAACGUAUUCUGGCGGCAUCGCCGGAAUACCAAAGGAGCAAUUCGCUGAAGGAUGGGCUCGCGUCCGAUUAGGUAGUUGGUGAGGUAACGGCCCACCAAGCCGACGAUCGGUAGCCGAACUGAGAGGUUGAUCGGCCGCAUUGGGACUGAGACACGGCCCAGACUCCUACGGGAGGCAGCAGUGGGGGAUAUUGCACAAUGGGGGAAACCCUGAUGCAGCAACGCCGCGUGAGGGAAGAAGGUCUUCGGAUUGUAAACCUAAGUUGUCAGGGACGAUAUGACGGUACCUGAAGAGAAAGCUCCGGGCUAACUACGUGCCAGCAGCCGCGGU